AGUGAACGCUGGCGGUAGGCCUAACACAUGCAAGUCGAACGGCAGCACAGUAAGAGCUUGCUCUUACGGGUGGCGAGUGGCGGACGGGUGAGGAAUACAUCGGAAUCUACUUUUUCGUGGGGGAUAUCGUAGGGAAACUUACGCUAAUACCGCAUACGACCUACGGGUGAAAGCAGGGGAUCUUCGGACCUUGCGCGAUUGAAUGAGCCGAUGUCGGAUUAGCUAGUUGGCGGGGUAAAGGCCCACCAAGGCGACGAUCCGUAGCUGGUCUGAGAGGAUGAUCAGCCACACUGGAACUGAGACACGGUCCAGACUCCUACGGGAGGCAGCAGUGGGGAAUAUUGGACAAUGGGCGCAAGCCUGGUCCAGCCAUACCGCGUGGGUGAAGAAGGCCUUCGGGUUGUAAAGCCCUUUUGUUGGGAAAGAAAAGCAGCAGGUUAAUACCCCGCUGUUCUGACGGUACCCAAAGAAUAAGCACCGGCUAACUUCGUG
rnacentral:rRNA from 1 species